rnacentral:lncRNA from 12 species
CCUAAAUCUGGUCUCAGGUUGCCAUAUUUGGGACCACCAUCAGAGACUCAGUGGGGAGAUGUGUACCUGCUGCUAGAGCUUGCAGUGCCCAAACUACCCCUGCUCCAAAGUCGUCCAAUAGCUCUUCUAGAGCUUUACCGGUUGAUGAAACAGAGAGCAGAAGUGCCAGUAGCUGAAGGAAGAUUGGGGAUGGAAGGAGAGGCCAGGAAAUGUGGGACUAGGACUCCUUGGUAAGGGGGUCUGGUCUGAGAACCAAGGCAGCGGUCCCCCCAGAUUGUUAUUGAUUGAAUGUUUGUAUUCCUGACCCCAGUGGGAUGGUACUGGGAGAUGGAGCCUUUGAGAGGUUAUUAGAUUUAUAUGAGGCAGCAGAUGGAGUCUCUCUGAUGGGAUCUAGUGCCCUUACUAUAAGAUGAAGAGACCAAAGCUCUCUUUCCCUCUCUUCCAUCUGAGGACACAGUGAGAAAGCAGCUACCUACUUAUCUCAGUUUUGGACCUCCCAGCCUCUAGACCUGUGAGAGAUAAAUGUCUGUUUUUCAAGCCACCCAGUCUAUAGUAGUUUAUCCUAGCAGCCUGAGCAGACUAAGUCGCAGGUCUAUGUGCUGAGUAUUUGAAAAACCCCUUUCUGCUACUGGAGCAGAAAAGAAAUCUGCUUCCAGUGAACCAGAUAUUCCAAGGAAUAUUUGCAAAUUUAUUCAGAGAUUUCUUUUUUUUUCAGGGAAGUAUUUGAACUGGGACAUGAUAAAAGUGGGACUUUUUUUUUUUUUUUUUUUUUUUACCCCAAGUGUGGAGAGGCAGGGAGAAUUAUCCUCAGAGAGAGAAGAAAGAAGCAACCUGACAAUGCAGAGCAAAGGCAAGAAGUGAACCCUUCAAGGUUCAGGCCUCAAAACAGCCCUAUGAUGUCAAGAAACAACCUUGGAGAAGUUAAGUACAUUUAUCAUCCAAAGUCACUCCUCCAGGAAAAGGUAGAGUUGAGUCUAUGUCCUACUUGGGAACCUUGACCUCUAAUCACUAAACUAUAUCACCUCUUUCUUCCUUCCUUCCUGCCUUCCUUCCCUCUUUCCUUUUUUCCUUUCUGGACUAGACCUUCAGUAACUCUAACUUACAGACAUAUAGUCUUCAAACUUCCUCUGUCUCUUCAGACUGAAACUCCCUGAGAAGGAGAACUAAUCUCACCAUGAGGCUAAGAGCCUCCAGAACUGCAUCGUCCAAUAUACAGUAUUAAAAUCAUUAAUGCAUUUUAAUAGUUCUCUAUGUUGCAAUGAUUCUAUUUUGGAUACAGUGGGUUAAAGGGGUUAUUAAAUUUAAUUUCACCUGGUUCUUUUUUUUAAAAAUGUGGCUAUUAGAAAACUUAACAGUUACAUCUAUGGCCCUCGUUAGUUCCUCCCGGACCUCAGCACUAUAGAAGGGGUAGAUCACGCCAUGCGAGACCAACUCAAGUGUUCUGUUAAGAAGCUUGUAAAGGAAAGAAACCAGAGGGAACACUGGAAAUGAAAUGCCUGUAAAUUCUGUGAAUGAUAUUCCAUAUGACCAAAGCUGGCACUUCUCUGUGACUUCACAUUCUUGGUCCCUUUCAUCCUGUGGGUUUUGUGUUUAGAAAAUGGCCUCAUACUCACAGGACACUCAGGUCUGUCUGGCCUCUGACCUGCCCUCCUUUCCAGAAAGCCUGCCCUGAGGCUUAAGAGCAAGGCUUCCCCUUCCACCCCCUCCUCUUUCUUUCCACCUGGUUCCCAUUCAGGGUUUGCAGGGCUGGAGAGUUGUCUGGGGCGCUGAUAUAUGAAAGGCACAAAAGCAUCCCUGCAAAUGUAAUGAAAUGGGGAAAUUUAUAUUGACCAGAAUUCCUUUCUGGAUGAGAAUGGCUCUGGUUGAAUUGUUGGAAUAAUUUGGCACGAUGCUCUGCCUGCAGGGUGUAAGGAACCAAAGGGCCUCAGGCAGAUCCUCAGGUCACUAAAUGGCCUUUAGGGUAUGUAGAUUUGGUUAAUUGCAGGGCGUUUGUUUUGCAGAGUUGAGUGUGCAAGUGUGAGGGAGAGGUGGAUUGCUUGGGGCAGCAGAGCGAGGCAGGCUGCCACUGGGAUUCCACUCUUCUCUUAAUUUAUCCAGCAGGUGUCCUUUUUGUCAAUAUCUUAAUAAAAAUCCAUUGGCUGAGAAAGCA